rnacentral:tRNA from 1 species
GGGGGUAUAGCUCAGAUGGAUAGAGCAACGGCCUUCUAAGCCGUAGGUCUCAGGUUCGAAUCCUGAUACCCUCACCA